rnacentral:rRNA from 1 species
UUUAAUUGAAGAGUUUGAUCAUGGCUCAGAUUGAACGCUGGCGGCAGGCUUAACACAUGCAAGUCGAGCGGUAGCACAGGGGA